CCCUUAGACGUUCUGGGCCGCACGCGCGCUACACUGACGAAGGCAACGAGCUUUCCUUUACCGAAAGGUACGGGUAAUCUUUUGAAACUUCGUCGUGCUGGGGAUAGAUCCUUGCAAUUUUUGAUCUUAAACGAGGAAUGCCUAGUAAGCGCAAGCCAUCAACUUGCGUUGAUUACGUCCCUGCCCUUUGUACACACCGCCCGUCGCUACUACCGAUUGAAUGGUUUAGUGAGGCCUUCGGAUCCGCGACUCGUUUGUGGAGAAGUUGGACAAACUCAGUCAUUUAGAGGAAGUAAAAGUCGUAACA
rnacentral:rRNA from 1 species